rnacentral:rRNA from 1 species
AGCGAACGCUGGCGGCAGGCCUAACACAUGCAAGUCGAACGAACCUUUCGGGGUUAGUGGCGGACGGGUGAGUAACACGUGGGAACGUGCCUUUAGGUUCGGAAUAACUCAGGGAAACUUGUGCUAAUACCGAAUGUGCCCUUCGGGGGAAAGAGUUAUCGCCUUUAGAGCGGCCCGCGUCUGAUUAGCUAGUUGGUUGAGGUAAUGGCUCACCAAGGCGACGAUCAGUAGCUGGUCUGAGAGGAUGAUCAGCCACAUUGGGACUGAGACACGGCCCAAACUCCUACGGGAGGCAGCAGUGGGGAAUCUUGCGCAAUGGGCGAAAGCCUGACGCAGCCAUGCCGCGUGAAUGAUGAAGGUCUUAGGAUUGUAAAAUUCUUUCACCGGGGACGAUAAUGACGGUACCCGGAGAAGAAGCCCCGGCUAACUUCGUG